UACAGAGGGUGCAAGCGUUAAUCGGAAUUACUGGGCGUAAAGCGCGCGUAGGCGGCUGCCUAAGUCGGGUGUGAAAGCCCCGGGCUCAACCUGGGAACUGCACUCGAUACUGGGCGGCUAGAGUAUGAGAGAGGGAGGUAGAAUUCCACGUGUAGCGGUGAAAUGCGUAGAUAUGUGGAGGAAUACCGGUGGCGAAGGCGGCCUCCUGGUUCAAUACUGACGCUGAGGUGCGAAAGCGUGGGGAGCAAACAGGAUUAGAAACCCCCGUAGUCC
rnacentral:rRNA from 1 species